rfam:Lactobacillus shenzhenensis LY-73 genomic scaffold LY73.Scaffold12, whole genome shotgun sequence.
GCACCCCUAGCGCAACUGGAUAGCGCAACGGUCCUCGGAACCGUGUGUUGUGGGUUCGAGUCCCACGGGGUGCA